AUGCACUCUGUUUGUGACGACGGUCAGAUGAAUUGUGCAAGGCACAUGCCAGCUUGUUCAUGUUCCGUGCACACGUUAAUGCUGCAAAAGGCCAAAAGCGAUGCACUGAUCAUGUUUCAGAUUAUCAAGAAUGAUGAGCUCCAAGAACCCAGUUCUGAAACUUUUGUAACUGUAUAUCUUGGUAAAUUGAGGGGCUCUAAUGUUGCAAUAAAAAGAAAUGGCAGAUGUUUCCCCGGGAAGCCAUCUCAGCGAGACAAAAUGCAUGUCAAUUCUCUCUUGAGAGGGGUCAAUUAG
rnacentral:rRNA from 1 species